rnacentral:rRNA from 1 species
AACGAACGCUGGCGGCGUGCCUAACACAUGCAAGUCGUGCGAGAAAGUUCCUUCGGGAGCGAGUAAAGCGGCGCACGGGUGAGUAACACGUAGGUAACCUGCCCCCCAGUCUGGAACAACUAGAGGAAACUCUAGCUAAUGCCGGAUGAGACCACGAUCCCUUCGGGGGUUGCGGCCAAAGAUGGCCUCUACUUGUAAGCUAUCGCUGAGGGAUGGGCCUGCGGGCCAUUAGCUUGUUGGUGAGGUAACGGCUCACCAAGGCUGUGAUGGCUAGCUGGUCUGAGAGGAUGACCAGCCACACUGGGACUGAGACACGGCCCAGACUCCUACGGGAGGCAGCAGUGGGGAAUAUUGCGCAAUGGGCGAAAGCCUGACGCAGCGACGCCGCGUGGGUGAUGAAGGCCU